CUCAUUCCUAAACCUCACAUUCCUUGACCUAUCAUCCCUCUCUUUUGUUCGCUUAAGACGUCUCGCCAUUGUGAAACCCUAAUAACAAAACCUCUCACCCUAACACAAAAACACCUCUUUCGGUGUACUCAAUUGCUCGGCUACAAUUGCAAGAAUGGAGGUACUGAGUCAGAAGUGCCCCUCUCCUAUCAGUUGCAAUGGGUUACAUCAAAAUUACGGCGUACUUAACAAGUCUCCCCUCCUCAUCAUUAAACAUACCCGUCCUCGGGUUAAGAGGAAAUA
rnacentral:lncRNA from 1 species